UUGGAGGGCAAGUCUGGUGCCAGCAGCCGCGGUAAUUCCAGCUCCAAUAGCGUAUAUUAAAGUUGUUGCAGUUAAAAAGCUCGUAGUUGAAUUUCGGGAUCGAUGGGUCGGUCAUGCCCUCGGUAUGUACUGAUCCCAUUGGUUCUCACCUUCUAAGGAACCAUGAUGUCAUUCGGUUGAUGUUGUGGGGAAUUAGGACUGUUACCUUGAAAAAAUUAGAGUGUUUAAAGCAGGCCAACGCUUGAAUACAUUAGCAUGGAAUAAUGAAAUAGGACAUCCGAUUCUAUUUUGUUGGUUUCUAGGAUCGAUGUAAUGAUUAAUAGGGAUAGUUGGGGGCAUUAGUAUUCAAUUGUCAGAGGUGAAAUUCUUGGAUUUAUUGAAGACUAACUACUGCGAAAGCAUUUGCCAAGGAUGUUUUCAUUAAUCAAGAACGAAAGUUAGGGGAUCGAAGACGAUCAGAUACCGUCGUAGUCUUAACCAUAAAACUAUGCCGACUAGGGACCGGAUGAUGCUUACUUUUUUAAUGACUCAUUCGGCGCCCUUACGGGAAAC
rnacentral:rRNA from 1 species